UAUUCUUUCCUUCCCGUUGAGCAGAUGAUUGGCCUCGAUAGGCACACUAACAUGGGAAGCAAUCAUUGCACAUGCCUCUCACUUUUCCCCUAAACCAUCUGUUUCAGUUUGUCCUCAUUCCAGCAGCUGAGAAGAGAGGCUCGUAGCCCAAGUUGUUAAGCUGUGGCUAUGGCCAUGGAAACCGAUGUUAGCCAUGUGUUGAAAAGUCCUUAAUGCGGCAGAUGGGUCUGCAAGAUAUUGGCACGGGCCGCUUCAGGCGUCAAUACGAGAAGCUGAUCAACGUGGAUGAGAAAACGAUGAGGCCCAGGGGGCGUUGGGUGAGGAAUGUGAACGGAAAGCUCAGGGCUCUCCGGCUGUCUCGCUCUAGGAAACUUACUCUACGGGCAUUUUCGCUUAUCGCGUUGCCCGGCAAGUUCGCCAGGAUCUACCGAGACAUCGCCAACCGGAUGAAUUUGGACGGUAUCUGCCCGGCCAUCACUUUUUCCUCUCAGUGGGGGCUCCCAGUUCUGUCUCACCCGUCUGUGAAAUGUAGAAGAAGUGCCAUGUCCCUUGAUAAAAGCUGGGCUUGCGCUUGAACUGCAGGCAUUUUGUCUGCAGUAGUAGCCUGAAGAAUUGCUAUUAUGUU